AAAACUCGUGUGUUUUGGCAUAAAUACCUCCAGACCGAAGGGUCCCGUGGAAGCCCGGGGAAGAGCAGCCGUGCGCCGCUCACGCUUCACGCUCCACGAAGGGUGGACGCUGAGAAACACCGCGCUGCUCCAUCAGACAGGUAGAAGCAGCGGGGCUCGUCGGAAGCAGCGGCGUCCCAUCAUGUCGCACGUCAGCAAACUUGUGCUUUAACCUCACGUCGGCGCCCCUGGGCGUCGCAGCAGCAGCACCCUGCCACCCAGCACUGCAUCCACCCACCCUCCCAUCCAUCCAUCCACCCGCUCACCCGCCUGGCUGUCCCGCUGAAGCUCAGUGAAGUGUCCGUAUGAAGACACAUUACCCGGGACGGUUCGCCAGCUGUCCUUCCACUGCUACAGUCAACCACAUCAGCCAUAUUAAAUGACCCUUUUGUCUUUAUUUUGUUCUCCUCCUCCGCACUCUGUCCAAAAGAUCUUGUUCGCGUCGUCUCCUGUGUAUUCUCCUGUUGUUCUUCCCCCAAUUUUAAAUGUUUAGCUCUGCAGCAUCUGCACUUGCAGAACAUUAGAGGAUCGCUCAAACGGAGCAUUUGACAAAAGCCAGGAAGCCUGCGCUCCAAACAAGAGUGUUUGUUUUCAUGCAUUUUUCCCUCGUCCUGAUUGCUGUCAGAUGCCUUUGUGUUCCAGGUGGUUGAGACAGCAGACGGAGAACCACACAGAGAAAUAAAUACCACACAUCCUCCUUCAUUUCUGCUGCUGUCAACGUAUAGAUUGUACUCAGUAUGAAGUGUAAAUAGGCCAAAAUGGCUUUGAAAUCCAUAACAGGAACUGAUUAGUCUCUCAAGGGCUGGUGAGGAAUCAGGACCAUCUGACACACUGUAGAAAGAGAAUGAGAUCAGAGAAGAUUCACUGAUUUACUGGACUGAACCGGAGCUGUUUAACCUCUCUGAUGUGUUUUCUUGAGUUCUUGGUUCUGGCGGAAUCUCCUCGUUGACAAUCGAGCAAAGAUGUGACAAAAAUAUGUCAUUUACAAUUUACUGGGAUUUCACGUUUGAGGUCUGCAACUCGGCCCGAGCCUGACAGAGCCCAUGUGUGUUAACACUUUAAGGCCAGAAUAGGGAAAGUGUUCACAAGCACGCUGCACAUUCACAUUAAGCAUAGCCUAGGAGCAUAAAGAUGAGCUGAGACAUACCAGAAAACAAAUACAACAGUCAGAGAUACACUAGAUGACCAAAGGUAUGAGGGCCCUUGUGACUGUUGAAUAUCUCAUUCCAAAUCCAUCCACAAGAGCGUCAGCGAGGUCCAACCAUAGUCUGUAUAUAAAGAUGGACGACAUGACAGCUCCCCAAAAGUGAGUCGGCCGGUUGUAUGGGCGGGACCUUGACCACCG